rnacentral:tRNA from 1 species
AGGUGUGUAGCUCAGUGGUAGAGCAAUAGGCUUUUAACCUACCGGUCAUGGGUUCAAAUCCCUUCACACCUA